rnacentral:rRNA from 1 species
UACGAAGGGGGCUAGCGUUGCUCGGAAUCACUGGGCGUAAAGCGCACGUAGGCGGCUUUUUAAGUCAGUGGUGAAAGCCUCCAGCUUAACUGGAGAACAGCCAUUGAUACUGAAGAGCUUGAGUACAGACGAGGUAGGCGGAAUUUAUGGUGUAGCGGUGAAAUGCAUAGAUACCAUAAAGAACUCCUAUUGCGAAGGCAGCUUACUAGGCUGUAACUGACGCUGAGGCACGAAAGCGUGGGGAUCAAACAGG